GAUGAACGCUGACAGAAUGCUUAACACAUGCAAGUCUACCAAGAAUCACUUCGGUGAGGAAUGGUGGCGGACGGGUGAGUAACGUGUAAAUAAUCUGCCCUUUAGACUGGGAUAUCCUUUGGAAACGAAGGUUAAUACCGGAUAUUAUGAGAUGGACGCAUGUUCAACUUAUGAAAGCUAAAUGCACUAGAGGAGGAGUUUGCGUCCCAUUAGCUAGUUGGUGAGGCAAAGGCUCACCAAGGCCACGAUGGGUAGCCGGCCUGAGAGGGUGAACGGCCAAAAGGGAACUGAGACACGGUCCUUACUCCUACGGGAGGCAGCAGUGGGGAAUAUUGGACAAUGGACCAAAAGUCUGAUCCAGCAAUUCUGUGUGCACGAUGAAGGUCUUCGGAUUGUAAAGUGCUUUCAGUAGGGAAGAAAAAAAUGACGGUACCUACAGAAGAAGCGACAGCUAAAUAUGUGCCAGCAGCCGCCGUAA
rnacentral:rRNA from 1 species